rnacentral:rRNA from 1 species
CGCCUGGGGAGUACGGGUGAGGUAACGGCUCACCAAGGCAUCGACGGGUAGCUGGUCUGAGAGGAUGAUCAGCCACACUGGGACUGAGACACGGCCCAGACUCCUACGGGAGGCAGCAGUAGGGAAUAUUGCACAAUGGGCGAAAGCCUGAUGCAGCAACGCCGCGUGCGGGAAGAAGGCCCUAGGGUUGUAAACCGCUUUCAGCAGGGAAGAAAAUGAUGGUACCUGCAGAAGAAGGUGCGGCCAACUACGUGCCAGCAGCCGCGGUGACACGUAGGCACCAAGCGUUGUCCGGAUUUAUUGGGCGUAAAGAGCUCGUAGGCGGUUCAGUUAGUCGGGUGUGAAAACUCUGGGCUCAACCCAGAGACGCCACUCGAUACUGCUGUGACUAGAGUGCGGUAGGGGAGCGGGGAAUUCCUAGUGUAGCGGUGAAAUGCGCAGAUAUUAGGAGGAACACCAGUGGCGAAGGCGCCGCUCUGGGCCGUAACUGACGCUGAGGAGCGAAAGCGUGGGUAGCAAACAGGAUUAGAUACCCUGGUAGUCCACGCCGUAAACGUUGGGCACUAGGUGUGGGUCUCAACCAACGAGAUCCGCGCCGUCGCUAACGCAUUAAGUGCCCCGCCUGGGGAGUACGG